UGUACUUAAGUCGUAGUACCCAGCACAGCACCCAGUUUAAAAGGUGUUUAGAAAACGUUAGCUAUUCUUAUUAUUUUACGACUAUUAAAGAGGUAAAUCUAUCUCCACAGAGUGGCAAGUAGAUUAUCCAUGUGAUACUUGGCAAGUCAUCACUUUUUUCUGGGCCUCAGUGUUCUUUCCUAUAAAAUACGGUAUUCCUAAGCUCCCUUCCAGUUCUAUCAGUCCUAUAAUUUAGUAUUUUUAGAAGACCAUAUCAUUACAGUCUCUUAUUCUUC
rnacentral:lncRNA from 1 species